rnacentral:rRNA from 1 species
GACGAACGCUGGCGGCGUGCCUAAUACAUGCAAGUAGAACGCUGAAGGAGGAGCUUGCUCUUCUGGAUGAGUUGCGAACGGGUGAGUAACGCGUAGGUAACCUGCCUGGUAGCGGGGGAUAACUAUUGGAAACGAUAGCUAAUACCGCAUAACAGUAGAUGUUGCAUGACAUUUUCUUAAAAGGUGCAAUUGCAUCACUACCAGAUGGACCUGCGUUGUAUUAGCUAGUUGGUGGGGUAACGGCUCACCAAGGCGACGAUACAUAGCCGACCUGAGAGGGUGAUCGGCCACACUGGGACUGAGACACGGCCCAGACUCCUACGGGAGGCAGCAGUAGGGAAUCUUCGGCAAUGGACGGAAGUCUGACCGAGCAACGCCGCGUGAGUGAAGAAGGUUUUCGGAUCGUAAAGCUCUGUUGUAAGAGAAGAACGAGUGUGAGAGUGGAAAGUUCACACUGUGACGGUAUCUUACCAGAAAGGGACGGCUAACUACGUG